rnacentral:misc_RNA from 1 species
AAUGCUUUGAGGAACUUGUUUUAAAGAUUUUAGAAACACCAAGUCUGUUGGCUGAAGGCUCUAGUGGUGUGAAAAAGAACAUCUUCAAAGAGAAACCUCCACAGGAUGUUCCAACUAGUAGUUGUUGCUCAUGGUGAUUACAUACUAUUGUUCUUGCUACCCUUGUUGAAGAAGUUACCUCUGAUUCCCCUUCGAUAUGAUCAUCCUUGGACCGUGAACUAUACAUUAGUUACAAAAUGGCAAUGUUUGAUGUGAUUUUUAUGUUCUUCUUCUUUACAUGGGCAGAUUAAUGUAUCCUUGUCAUGUCAUGGCACAUGGAUUUCUCUUAUUUCCCCUAUGCCCAUUCUUUUUUUUAAAAAUGAAGUGAAUUGAACGAAUGGGCAUAGGGGAAAUAAGAGAAAUC